GAUGAACGCUGGCGGCGUGCCUAAUACAUGCAAGUCGAGCGAACGGACGAUAAGCUUGCUUCUCUGACGUUAGCGGCGGACGGGUGAGUAACACGUGGAUAACCUACCUAUAAUACUGGGAUAACUUCGGGAAACCGUAUCUAAUACCGGAUAAUAUUUUGAACCGCAUGGUUCAAAAGUGAAAGACGGUCUUGCUGUCACUUAUAGAUGCAUCCGCGCUGCAUUAGCUAGUUGGUAGGGUAACGGCUUACCACGGCAACGAUGCAUAGCCGACCUGAUAGGGUGAUCGGCGACACGGGAGGUGGGACACGGUCAAGACUCCUACGGGAGGCAGCAGUAGGGAAUGUUCCGCAACGGGGGAAAGCAUGACGGAGCAGCGCGAAGUGAGUGAUGAAGGUGUUCGGAGCGGAAAACUCUGUUAUUAGGGAAGAACAGAUGUGUAAGUAACUGUGCACAGCUUGACGGUAACUGAUCAGAAAGCCACGGCUAACUACGUG
rnacentral:rRNA from 1 species